GUGUCAGCAGCCGCGGUAAUACGAGGGGUCCAAGCGUUGCUCGGAAUCAUUGGGCGUAAAGCGAGUGUAGGUGGCUUUGUAAGUCAGUAGUGAAAGCCCCAGGCUUAACCUGGGAAGUGCUAUUGAUACUGCGAAGCUUGAAUGUGGGAGAGGAUCGUGGAAUUCCAGGUGUAGUGGUGAAAUACGUAGAUAUCUGGAGGAACACCGGUGGCGAAGGCGGCGAUCUGGCCCAACAUUGACACUGAGACUCGAAAGUGCAGGGAUCAAACAGGAUUAGAUACCCUGGUAGUCUGCACCGUAAACGAUGGAUACUUGGUGUUGGAGGUAUUGACCCCUUCAGUGCCGAAGCUAACGCGUUAAGUAUCCCGCCUGGGAAGUACGGCCGCAAGGUUAAA
rnacentral:rRNA from 1 species